rnacentral:rRNA from 1 species
GAUGAACGCUAGCGACAGGCUUAACACAUGCAAGUCGAGGGGCAGCAGGAAGUAGCAAUACUUUGCUGGCGACCGGCGCACGGGUGAGUAACGCGUAUGCAACCUACCUAUCAGAGGGGGAUAACCCGGCGAAAGUCGGACUAAUACCGCAUAAAACAGGGGUCCCGCAUGGGAAUAUUUGUUAAAGAUUUAUUGCUGAUAGAUGGGCAUGCGUUCCAUUAGAUAUUUGGUAAGGUAAUGGCUUACCAAGUCUGCGAUGGAUAGGGGUUCUGAGAGGAAGGUCCCCCACACUGGUACUGAGACACGGACCAGACUCCUACGGGAGGCAGCAGUGAGGAAUAUUGGUCAAUGGGCGAGAGCCUGAACCAGCCAAGUCGCGUGAAGGAUGAAGGAUCUAUGGUUCGUAAACUUCUUUUAUAAGGGAAUAAAGUGCGGGACGUGUCCUGUUUUGUAUGUACCUUAUGAAUAAGGAUCGGCUAACUCCGUGCCAGCCGCCGCCGUAA